rnacentral:rRNA from 1 species
UACGGAGGGUGCAAGCGUUAUCCGGAUUCACUGGGUUUAAAGGGUGUGUAGGCGGACAGUUAAGUCAGCGGUGAAAUCUCCGGGCUCAACCCGGAAACUGCCAUUGAUACUAUCUGUCUUGAAUAUUGUUGAGGUGGGCGGAAUAUGUCGUGUAGCGGUGAAAUGCUUAGAUAUGACAUAGAACACCGAUUGCGAAGGCAGCUCACUAAACAAUGAUUGACGCUGAGGCACGAAAGCGUGGGGAUCAAACAGG